rnacentral:rRNA from 1 species
CCUACGGGAGGCAGCAGUGGGGAAUAUUGGACAAUGGGCGAAAGCCUGAUCCAGCAAUGCCGCGUGAGUGAAGAAGGCCUUCGGGUUGUAAAGCUCUUUUACCCGGGAAGAUAAUGACUGCACCGGGAGAAUAAGCUCCGGCUAACUCCGUGCCAGCAGCCGCGGUAAUACGGAGGGAGCUAGCGUUGUUCGGAAUUACUGGGCGUAAAGCGUACGUAGGCGGCUUGGUAAGUCAGAGGUGAAAGCCCGACGACUCAAUCGUGGAACUGCCUUUGAGACUGCUUCGCUUGAAGAUGGGAGAGGUUAGUGGAAUUCCGAGUGUAGAGGUGAAAUUCGUAGAUAUUCGGAAGAACACCAGUGGCGAAGGCGGCUAACUGGACCAUUCUUGACGCUGAGGUACGAAAGCGUGGGGAGCAAACAGGAUUAGAUACCCUGGUAGUCCACGCCGUAAACGAUGAUAACUAGCUGUCGGGGCUCUUGGAGCUUCGGUGGCGCAGCUAACGCAUUAAGUUAUCCGCCUGGGGAGUACGGCCGCAGGUUAAACUCAAAGGAAUUGACGGCUGAGAGUUGCGAGACGACGACGAGGAGGAGG